AAGCCAAACAGGCAGUGAAUGAGGAUUUUGAAGCCCAGAAGAAGAUUAAAGCACUUGAACAAACGUUAAAGGAGAAGGCGCAGGAGCUUACUGAUCUGUCAGAAUUUUACAAUCCACUGAUUUUCAAGGAGAGGAGCAAUAAUGAUGAGCUGCAGGGGGCCCGUAAAGAGUUAAUUGAGGUUCUUUGCAUUAUAAUCUCGUUGUUCUCUCUGUGUCAUUUGUCUUCCUCUUAUCAGAAGCUCUAUCUACUGGUUUUGAUUCCAAGUUGAACUAUAUGGAGAGGUCUUGGGAAACAGGAUGAGGCUAGGAUGCAGCUGUUGGGGAUGUUACAAUAACUACGAAUAGGACAAGAAUGGUUGAUUUUACACAGCCUUAAUUACAUGGAAUCAGGACUAGUUGUAGUUGUUCCUGUCAAACAGGUUUAGUUUCUCGACGAUGUUCUUCUCACAUAGAGAGAACACUGUGAGCACUCUAGGACGGCUGGUGCUGAUUAUAUGGUUGUUUGUGGUGUUGAUUAUCAAUUCGAGCUAUACAGCUAGUUUGACAUCGAUCCUCACUGUACAACAGCUGACAUCACGGAUUGAGGGGAUAGACAGCUUGAUAUCAAGUAAUGAUCCAAUCGGAGUUCAAGAUGGGUCAUUUGCAUGGAAUUAUUUGGUUAAUGAGCUCAACAUAGCGGAAGUUGUCAAAACAAUGGUUGCCAAGGGAUAUGUUCUGGGACAAGAUGCAUUAAUCAAGGGGAUUUGUCAAAACAAUGAGUCCUAUCAAGUAUCGGCUGCUACAACAUCCAAGGUUUAUGAGUUAGCAAUUGAAUAUGGUCUCAUCAAGGCAAAGAAGCUUUUCAAUCACCUCAAUAGCUCAGAGUAUGUAGGUCAUGAUACUUAGCCUACUGGGCGUCAGCAUUAUGUAUUUCAAUUUUUGAAUGUUUUUGUAUUUUUCAAGAUUGGUGAGAAAUAAUGUGAAAAAACAUGAAAUUUAUGAUU